rnacentral:lncRNA from 1 species
CACAUGGCCCUGUUCAGCUUCUGGUCCGGUACUCCCUCCAAUAACCCUAGUUUGUCUUUUUCUCUUCAUUUUUACUGAUUUCUAUCCCACCCGUGCAUUUGUUUUGAGAUUUCAGCUCUUGUGACAUCAUCUCUGCAAAUUAUGCAUUGAGAUUUUUGAGAGAUUUCUUGAAAUUUCUGUUUAAUGAGUGGUGUUAAUGUAACAUAUAGAUUUUAAUAUCUGGAAAACUUCAUUUUUUAUCAUCCACUACUUUCUCUUAAUUAAUUUAACAUCAUUUGCCUUUCUUACUGGUCAUAGUAUAAUUCUGAGGUAAUAAGGUGGCAUUUUUAAUUUAACUAUUCAUAGAACUUCUGGGAGAAAUUUUAUGUCUAGUUCAGAAGGCAUGGCAGCAUUUUAAAUUUGAUUGUGGAGUAUUCUAACCAAAUCUUCAAGAGCCGUAACUCGAGGUGAAACCUGCCAACACUUUCUUUAGCUUGCCCAUGGUGAUGUGAAGAUGAGAAGAAAUAGCAAGGCCCAACCAGUUCUUCAUCUGGAGACAGUUCAACGUUCUGCAAACCAGAUCUUCAGGAAUUUUACUGGGAUAAUUAUCCAAAUAAAUUGCAAGCAUUCUAUCCAAAUGGACAUCCAUAAAAAUUCAUCAGAGAGCAUUUUACUACUGAGCUGCAAAGGUAGGAAAAAUAAAUUUUUUUUGGUUAGAAAAUAUACUUCUUUCAUCUGCGUUUCAAUAAUUUAUUCCCCUUGUUAGAUAUACAUGGAAUUGAUAUUGCUUAUUCUGACUAAGUGAAAAGUGUUAUUUCUACUUACUGCUCAAUUAGAAACAUGUAGUGUUUAAUUGUCAGUUUGAAUUUUUCUUUCAUACUAUUACAGUUUAUAUUUUACUAUAGGCAGAAUUUCCUCUUUAUCCUAAAUUUUGAUAUUCUCCAUAAUUUCAUCGUGCCUUGACAUUGCUGUAUAUAAUUUCUAUACAUCAGGAAGGCAAUUCUGUGUGCAUGUGUGUGUGUAUAUAUAUAGUUAGAAGUUAGAAACUGAAACUCUUUUUUGUCUACCAUCAUUUCAUAUUUUUCUUGCUAUUUCAAACCUAUAAUUUUUAAAGAAACGACUAACGUAAUCAUUCAUAGAAUAUGCUGUCAGUAACUUAACAAUAUAAAUGUUAACAUGGAGGCAUUUAGUUCAGCAUUUGCUUUACUUAAUAGAGUGCAGAAAAUGUGGCCCUUUUCUCAGUUAGGGUGUAUGUGAAGAUAAAUUUAGAAUUUCUAGACUAGUAAAUACUUCUCUGAUAAUAACUUAAUUAUAGCUAUUUCAAACCAAAUUGUUUAAUUGUGGUGAAUCAUAUGUAAAUUGUUCAGAUGUAGGUCAACACCCACGCCCACAUUCUAGCACCUCUUUCCUAAUUCAAGACAACUUUGCAGUGCCUAAAAGAGCUGAACAGUGCAGAUUAGAGACAUAAGACAAAAAAAAAAAAAAAA